rnacentral:rRNA from 1 species
UACGUAGGUGGCAAGCGUUGUCCGGAUUCACUGGGCGUAAAGAGCGCGCAGGCGGUGGGUCAAGUCGCGUGUGAAAGCCCCCGGCUCAACUGGGGAGGGUCACGCGAUACUGAUCGACUGGAAGGCAGGAGAGGGUAGUGGAAUUCCCGGUGUAGUGGUGAAAUGCGUAGAUGUCGGGAGGAACACCAGUGGCGAAGGCGACUCCCUGGCCUGUUCUUGACGCUGAGGCGCGAAAGCUAGGGGAGCAAACGGG